rnacentral:rRNA from 1 species
UCAGCGGCAGACGGGUGAGUAACACGUAGGUGACCUGCCCUAAAGAUGGGGACAACGGAUGGAAACAUGCGCUAAUACCCAAUGGACCUGUGAUGUCAGAGUCAUAGGUAAAGCUUCGGCGCUUUAGGAGGGGCCUGCGGCCCAUCAGCUAGUUGGUAGGGUAACGGCCUACCAAGGCAAAGACGGGUAGGGGGUGUGAGAGCAUGACCCCCCACAAUGGGACUGAGACACGGNCCAUACUCCUACGGGAGGCAGCAGCAGGGAAUAUUGCACAAUGGACGGAAGUCUGAUGCAGCGACGCCGCGUGGAUGACGAAGGCCUUCGGGUUGUAAAAUCCUUUUCAGGGGGACGAGAACGGACGGUACCCUUGGAAUAAGCGUCGGCUAACUACGUGCCAGCAGCCGCGGUAAGACGUAUGACGCAAGCGUUAUCCGGAUUUACCGGGCGUAAAGCGUCUGUAGGCGGUUGAGUAAGUUGGGCGUGAAAGCUCCGGGCUUAACCCGGAGAGGUCGUUCAAUACUGCUUAACUAGAGGACAUCAGAGGAGCAUGGAAUUUCCGGUGUAGCGGUAAAAUGCGCAGAUAUCGGAAAGAACACCAGUGGCGAAGGCGGUGCUCUGGGGUGGGCCUGACGCUGAGAGACGAAAGCUAGGGGAGCGAACAGGAUUAGAGACCCUGGUAGUCCUAGCCCUAAACGAUGGAUGCUAGAUGUAGGGCCGAGAAGGCUCUGUGUCGCAGUUAACGCGGUAAGCAUCCCGCCUGGGGAUUACGGCCGCAGGGCUAAAACUCAAACGAAUUGACGGGGCCCCGCACAAGCAGCGGAGCGUGUGGUUUAAUUCGAUGCUACACGAAGAACCUUACCUGGGUUUGACAUGUACGUGGUAGUGAAGCGAAAGCGGAGCGACCCUUCGGGGAGCGUACACAGGUGCUGCAUGGCUGUCGUCAGCUCGUGCCGUGAGGUGUCGGGUUAAGUCCCGUAACGAGCGCAACCCUUGCCCUUAGUUACAAGUGUCUAAGGGGACUGCCGGCGGUAAGCCGGAGGAAGGUGGGGAUGACGUCAAGUCAGCAUGGCCCUUAUAUCCAGGGCUACACACACGCUACAAUGGUCAGUACAAAGGGCAGCGAAGCCGCGAGGUGAAGCGAAUCCCACCAAAGCUGAUCUAAGUUCGGAUUGCAGGCUGCAACUCGCCUGCAUAAAGCUGGAGUUGCUAGUAACCGCGCGUCAGCCAUAGUGCGGUGAUACGUUCCCGGGGCUUGUACACACCGCCCGUCACGUCAUGGAAGUCGGUAACGCCUGAAGCUGGUAGUCUGGCCUUAACAGGGGACGCCAUCUAAGGCGGGGCUGGCAACUGGGACGAAGUCG